rnacentral:rRNA from 1 species
UACGGAGGGUGCGAGCGUUGUCCGGAAUCACUGGGCGUAAAGGGCGCGUAGGCGGCGCGGGGAGUCAACGGUGAAAGCUCGGCGCUCAACGCCGAGUCGGCUGUCGAUACUCCCGUGCUCGAGCACUGUAGAGGCAGGUGGAAUUCCGGGUGUAGCGGUGGAAUGCGUAGAGAUCCGGAAGAACACCGGUGGCGAAGGCGGCCUGCUGGGCAGUAGCUGACGCUGAGGCGCGACAGCGUGGGGAGCAAACAGG